AUUUACGGCCAUAUCACAUUGAAAACGCUGGUUCUCGUCCGAUCACCGAUGUUAAGCAACGAUGAGCCUAGUUAGUGCUUAGAUGGGUGACCGCUUUGGAAACCUAGGAGCUGUAAACA
rnacentral:rRNA from 1 species